rnacentral:rRNA from 1 species
GGGGACCUUCCACGGUCUCUGCGACGCAGCUAACGCAUUAAGUGCCCCGCCUGGGGAGUACGAUCGCAAGAUUAAAACUCAAAGGAAUUGACGGGGCCCCGCACAAGCAGCGGAGCAUGCGGCUUAAUUCGACGCAACGCGAAGAACCUUACCAAGGCUUGACAUAUACAGGAAUAUGGCAGAGAUGUCAUAGCCGCAAGGUCUGUAUACAGGUGGUGCAUGGUUGUCGUCAGCUCGUGUCGUGAGAUGUUGGGUUAAGUCCCGCAACGAGCGCAACCCUCGUUCUGUGUUGCCAGCAUUUAGUUGGGGACUCACAGGAGACUGCCCGGGGUUAACUCGGAGGAAGGUGGGGAUGACGUCAAAUCAUCAUGCCCCUUAUGUCUUGGGCUGCACGCAUGCUACAAUGGCUGGUACAAACGGCUGCGAUACCGCAAGGUGGAGCGAAUCCGAUAAAGCCAGUCUCAGUUCGGAUUGGGGUCUGCAACUCGACCCCAUGAAGUCGGAGUUGCUAGUAAUCGUAGAUCAGCAACGCUACGGUGAAUACGUUCCCGGGGCUUGUACACACCGCCCGUCACGUCACGAAAGUCGGUAACACCCGAAGUCAGUGGCCCAACCGCAAGGAG